rnacentral:misc_RNA from 1 species
GUGCCCUUUCAGGAUGUUUCAAAGCAAAAUAAUAAGCUGGCCAUGCUCCAAAAUCUUUCCCAACAAGAAACACCUUGGGGAUGUUGAGAGCAUCAAGAAUCCCAAGGAGAUCGCUGAUGAGGUCGCUGAAUGAAGCCUUGGAGGGCUCGGCAGGGGAAUCGGAGAGUCCAUAUCCUCUGUAAUCGGGAGCGAGUACUCGGAAUCCGG